rnacentral:rRNA from 1 species
GGGCCCGCACAAGCGGUGGAGUAUGUGGUUUAAUUCGAUGCAACGCGAAGAACCUUACCAGGGUUUGACAUCCUGCGAAUCUCUUGGAAACGAGAGAGUGCCUUCGGGAACGCAGUGACAGGUGGUGCAUGGCUGUCGUCAGCUCGUGUCGUGAGAUGUUGGGUUAAGUCCCGCAACGAGCGCAACCCACGUCUUUAGUUGCCAGCAUUUAGUUGGGCACUCUAGAGAGACUGCCGGUGAUAAACCGGAGGAAGGUGUGGAUGACGUCAAGUCAUCAUGCCCCUUACAUCCUGGGCUACACACGUACUACAAUGCUACGGACAAAGGGCUGCUAACCCGCGAGGGGGUGCCAAUCUCAGAAACCGAUCGUAGUCCGGAUUGUUGUCUGCAACUCGACAGCAUGAAGUCGGAAUC